rnacentral:rRNA from 1 species
UUAUUUGAGAGUUUGAUCCUGGCUCAGGAUGAACGCUGGCGGCGUGCCUAACACAUGCAAGUUGAGCGAUUUACUUCGGUAAAGAGCGGCGGACGGGUGAGUAACGCGUGGGUAACCUACCCUGUACACACGGAUAACAUACCGAAAGGUAUGCUAAUACGGGAUAAUAUAUUUGAGAGGCAUCUCUUGAAUAUCAAAGGUGAGCCAGUACAGGAUGGACCCGCGUCUGAUUAGCUAGUUGGUAAGGUAACGGCUUACCAAGGCGACGAUCAGUAGCCGACCUGAGAGGGUGAUCGGCCACAUUGGAACUGAGACACGGUCCAAACUCCUACGGGAGGCAGCAGUGGGGAAUAUUGCACAAUGGGCGAAAGCCUGAUGCAGCAACGCCGCGUGAGUGAUGAAGGCCUUCGGG